CGACCCUGUCAUCUGCACCCCGACAGAAGUCACCGCAAUGUGGGAUCUGAGGUUAAUCCGCAGUGAAACGGUGCAGGUCAGAGGCUGGGCCCGAGUCUCCCCGGCGCUGCAGCGGAGCUCAGGCUCGCUGACAGCAGCGUGAGCUCUGCCUCCCGCGCAGCCCGCAGGGACAGCCCUGAGCCAGCUCCAGGCUGCUCCGCGCCAGCACAGCCUGGAGCCUGGAGCAGCCUGGCUCCUGGAGCAGGAGCUCCCCGGCAAGCCGGAGCUGUGCGGCCAGCAGCCCCAGAGCUGCUCCGUUUCGGGGUAACCCCAGUACCGCGGGGCACUCGAGGCACGCCCUGCCCCGUGCAGAAGGACGCGGCUGCUCCAGCCCGCUCGGCCCCUGAGCCGCGCAUCCUCCCUCCUUCCGCUCGCCCGCUGUUCAUCCCUGCCGCAGGCGGGGUCAGCUGCAGGAUGCCCACGGAGGGAUGCCGAGAAGGUGAAACGUUUGUUACUUUCCUGAAGCACAGCUAUCCGAGCAGGUUGCACUUGCUCUUAAGGAUAGCACCCAUGGAUAAAGGCAGAGGAGGCACAAAGCCAGCAUUUGACAGCAGAAUGGUCUACAAGCACUGACAUGGCUUGGGCAGGCACUGGUCUCCCAUGUCUCUCCCUACCAAGACAACAAAGAACCCCUUCCCCUGAGCUGGGAUUCUCCCUUGUCAUUAUGCUGUGCUCAAGCCAGCAGGCCAGCCCUGGAAUGGCACUUUGUGGAGCCUGGAAGAGACCCCAGAGAGCACCCAGCCCUCACUGGGACACUGACACCUUUCAUUUGAGUGGGAGUCAGUGGUGACUGUCCUCAGAGAGCUCUUGCCACCCUGGCUCUGCUCUUUCUACACCCAGCCCUGGGCAAGAUUAAAGCUGUGAACCAACAGCUGGCCAGCACAGAGCCCAAACCACAAUCUCAAAAGAGUCUGUGCCAGUUUAUUAAUUGUCUGUAGAGCGGGACCUGGCAGAAGGAAGCACAGCCUGCCUUCAUGGAGACAACACAUGUUUGGGACUGAAGCAGUGAGUGGUAAAGCUCACCCUACACAUGCCUUCCCUGCCUGCACUGCUUUGUACUCCAGCUUAGUCAUGGCUGGCCCAGGCGAGUGGCUGGGAGAGCAAGGCUGUACUGGUUGAUAUUAGCUCUGCUUGAGGCUGAGAGGCUGCAUCUGGUGUGGAUCUCCCUGGCUGCUACUGUGCUCUGGCUGCAGACUGAGAUAUGAGCUAGGAGAGCCCAGAGCUGCGCCCUGCCACAGCCUGGCUCUGGCUCAGCACCGCUCUGGAGGCACAGGGUGGUCUAAUGCACUUUAUUACUGCUCUUUAUUAUCAGGCUCCACUAAUUAAUUCCACUAAUGUGCAAAACCCCGCAUGACAAAGUAGCCCUUGAUCUUCUUCCACACCCUUGCUUCCAACCCCUGUGAGGCUUUUUGCUCUAGCUGAGGAGUUCCACUUGGAACAGGCAGCCCAGCCCAGCAGGUGCUAAAAGGUGUGUAAUCCUGAAGUGAGCUAACUGAGCCUGGGUGCUUCCUCUGCCGGGGUCUCACUGCUGCUUCUUGCACAGGGAGGACACCUGGGUUUUCACCAGGCCAGGAGCUAUCCUGCAUUUUGGCCUGGAGCUGGUUUAAAUCACGUUCCCUGGCAGUGGCUCCUGCUUUGAGAGGCAGUCCCAGGAGAUUCCUGGGUUGGGACAAAGAGGACAAUUGCUAUUUAAUGAAUGGAGCUGGGCAUAUCACCCAUGGUCCUGCAGCCAUCAUUCCUCAAACACAAAGGUUCUGCCACCCUUCCUUCCUGAGGCAUGGGAUCCUCAUGGAGCAAGGCUGUGAGUUUUUGUAAUAAACUUCCUGCAAGGAAGAGGAGAAGGAAGGAGAGGGCUCCUGCUGCCCUUGGCAUGGUGCAGGCAGCCCAGGGCAACUGUCACAACGAGACAUCAUUGUUUUUUCAUUCUGAGUGCUAAGCUAUAGAAACAGAAUAAAAUAUCAUGCAGAGGACUGCUUACAUAUUGCCUGUGACUUUUGUAUAUCUUAAUUUAAGAGUUUACAAAUUACAGUCCUUCUGCCAAGCCAGCAGCUAUUGAGCUCCCAGAAGGAAGUUCUUUGGCCACUUCUGUCUGCACUGUCCAAAUGUCUGUAGAAGAAAUACCCUGGGAAGAGAACCUGUCACUUUGUCCAUCACUGCUUACAGUGGACCCUUACCUCUUGCUGUGCCUUUGGAGACCACUUUGUUCUCCUAUUCCUUUCCUUUAACUGGCUCUGUUUUUACUCAUUGGAGGCCUUGUACUUAGACAAGAUCCAAAUUUUGCAUAAUAAAAGGGCUCCCUAAUAGCUGGCAGAGCAUCCUGCUGUUCCCUGUGUCCUGUUGUUGAAGAUUAAACAGAUGUAAAAUUAGGAGCUGAAUCUCUCUGCAUUUGGGGGUCCUUGUCCAUAGCUGGAGAUGAGAGAUUAAGAUGUGACCUUUUCCCAGGAAAAGCAAUUUAAGAGAUCAAGAAGUUAUAAUCCUUAACAAACCUUUCUCCAAAGAAUUUUGCUUUAAAUGCUUUAAAUCCCACUGGCCAUGUACAUUUUUGCUCACAGCUUUCUUUGCUUCUCUUGACUGCACACUCCAGUGAAAUCCCAGAUCCUUUACCAGAAAUGCUUUUGAAUGCUCCAUCCCCACCUACUCUUUUGGACCCCUAAGGAGACAAAUAAACAGAUGGAAGGUUUACUGCGAGCAGAAAAGAAGUCAACAAUUUCCCUUCAUGACAGGAGACGUCACACAACUCAGCAUCUGCAGGCUUAGUGCUGUAUUGCCCUGAGUAGCUCAUGUUCCUGGGCAUGGUUUCCAGGCAGAACCAAGUCCCAGUCCAUACCAAUGCACACCAAUAUCUUCUUGGCAUGCCCUACUCCAUCUCUUUAGAACAGGCCCACAAUUGCUCGGCUUCAUCUUAGGGUGGUAAUCACAUAAAAAAGCCAGAAAAAGUAAUCACAUAGAAAAGUAGAAAGUGAGUUUAAUUUGUCUCCUGGCCUAGCAGCAGACUCUUUUCAGCGAAUGGUCAGAACUUGUGUUUAAAAGCUCAUUGCAAAAAAACAGUAUCCAUGGCUGAUUGAGGUCUCAGUGUUGGGAAACCUUGAGAUCUGUAAGUGGAGAAGGAGCCCCAUUAAUUCCUGUCUAGACUGGCUUCUGAGCCCAGGUUCCAGAGAUGAAAGGACACUUUAUUAAGACAGGACAUAAAUCCACCCUGCCAACAAGUCCGCACUCCUCUGGAUUAUUUACACCUCUCUCCCUCCCUCUGGUCAUUGCCUGUCCCUACAUAAUCUACAUUAAAGUCCUGACAGGAUUAA